AAAACGACUCUCGGCAACGGAUAUCUCGGCUCUCGCAUCGAUGAAGAACGUAGCGAAAUGCGAUACUUGGUGUGAAUUGCAGAAUCCCGUGAACCAUCGAGUCUUUGAACGCAAGUUGCGCCCGAUGCCGUUAGGCGGAGGGCACGUCUGCCUGGGCGUCACGC
rnacentral:rRNA from 1 species